CAAUAUGGCCAAGGGUGAGAUGUUGUUUCAGAGAGUCCUUGUAUCUUCUCUUUGGGGCUCCUCUCUUAUAGCAGCCAGUGGCAAGUUCACCAUAAAGCAAGAUCUUAGGGAGGCGGUGGUCCUUCAUCCUGGAGACGUGUCCUGCCCAUUGCAGCUGUGUUCUCAGCAACAUGGCCUCAAUACUUGUGAUAUAGAGGCAUAGGUGAGAAACAUAAAUACAGGUUCAAAAUAGAAAUUAGAAUUUAAUUUGGCAGUGAGAAGGGAACAUACAGGGUAGGUCUUCCCUAGUACUUCAUGGCAGAAAAUCAAAGGAAGCUGGAAUUGUGACUGCCAGUUACCUACAUAACCAGAUACCUUUGGAUUUACUGUGAGGGUGGUGAGGCACUGGCAAAGGUUGCCCAGAGAAGCUGUGGAUGCUCCAUCCCUGAAAGUGUUCAAGGACAGGGUGGAUGAAGCUCUGAGUAUCCUGGUCUAGUGGAAGGUGUCCCUGUCCAUGGCAGAGGGGUUGGAACUGGAUGAUCUUUAAGGUCCUUUCCAACCCAAACCAUUCCGUGAUUCUAUGGUCAAACGAUCCAGUGAUUCAUAUUGAACCAUGAAAAAAGUGACCAACAUAUGGAAAGGAUAUUUACUGGCUGAACAACAGAGUUUUAAAUUCUCCCACCAAAAUGAAGCAGAAUAAAAAUAGCGAAGGUAACUACAUAUAUCAAAAGCUUUUUAAGAACAUCAGAGGCUGCAUCAUCAGCCAAAGUGGCUGAGAAAGGAAAGGUAAAUGAAGGAAAGCAGUCAGUAUCAAGUCUAAAGAGAGCUUUUAAAGGAGGAAAAGUAGGACAUCUUAGCUGGAAAAGCAAAUACAAAAGGCAGAAUGAACUGACAGCAAAUAGUAAUAUUGGAAAUAAAAGAUAAUGACUGCAAGCAUGAAAUGCAGACAUAAAAAGGCUGCCACAAAGUCAUUUUUGAAGAGCAUAUGAUACUGGACAUCUAAAUUUUUUUUAUUCUUUUCUGACUCUCACACUUGCAUAUGUGCUCGGGUCUUGCCAAAGCUAAGAUUUGAUGCUAAGGUUAGGCUAGACUGCCUUCUUAAGGUUUGGCUUUUUUUUUCUUUAUAAAUUUGAGAACUUGGUCCCACUCCUGUUUAAUUGGUAUCAAAACUUUCUUCAUGGCUUCAGCAGUAAAGCAUCAGUUCAGAACAAAGAUUGGUGCAGGUUUACACCAUCCUUCCCCUUCACAAAAAGUGUAUCCCACCUCUUUAGAAAACUCUGUGUAUUUCCCUAAUGGUCAGAUUUGUAGAUGUGCCAUAGUUGAGGCAAGUCAGAUUUUAAAUGUCUAUUUUCCACAGCUUGAUUACUUUGAAAAUAGGUUUUUGUUGGCAGGAAGUUACCCAGGAAAGGGGACACACCUCAGAGAGAAACAAGUAUGACCAAAAAAGCUAUCACACUGAUUUUAUACAUCUGUUACUUUCUACAAUUUCACAUGAUGUUUAUAUGAAACCUGCUGAUCCACUUCACUCACAUUUUCCAUCAGUGUUUGCAAGCCAACAUCCUUUGGAAGAACACACCUGUAAUGGACACUGAAUUCUGAAAAAACAACAGCACAGAGAUUUACCAGUUUGAUGGGAGUAAAUUAAUGGUACUGUAAUAGAGGGAAACAAAUCUAUUAAACAGAGAGCAUCCAGAGAUACCUCUUCAGUUUGCAGCCUUAACUACACACCAGACAAAUGGCCACUUUGCUGAACUACAGUGUUUUCCCCUACACUGAUCUAAUACAAGACCAGUUUGGUCUUAAGUGUGUUGCAAACAAACUUUGCUUAAGUUUGUUGGCAAAUAGCCAAAAAAUAGUUGGGAGAAGCCUGACCUUCUGUGAUCAACAAUAAAUGCAGGGAGAUUUGAUAAUCUGUAUCUGACAAAGAGAUAAAGUGGUUAAAUUCAUUUUGGUGAGUAAUUUCCAAUGCUUUGCAGGGCAGAAAAAAUCUUUUCCAAAACUAGUUACUUACUGACAAGCUUGAGAGAGUGAAACAAGAAGAGUGACAGAGAUGAAAAGGUGUUUACUUCAUUGGAGAAGUCACAUUGCUAAAUGCUAACCACAGUGGCCUUAGACAGAAACCGCACAUGUACAGAUCUGGAGAAUGUCACAAUCUGGUAUUGCUAAGAAGCCUCAGCUCUGCUUUUGCAAAGGCUUGAAACAUUAGUCGAUUCAGUGCACAUUCAUAAUUAGAAUUUUAAGAAAGCAGCUCUGGAGUGGCUUUAAUGUGUACACCCAUACAAAGCAGCAGCUAUAAAUGCAGAUGAGAACUUGGAGGGUUUUCAAGUAUUGUAGCAAAAGGAAAUGGCUCUUUGGAGGUGGGUCUGUAGAAGAAAGCCACGUAUGUCUGUGGACUUCAUGCCUCCAAGCAACCUGAAAUUUGUCUGCAAUUUAAGCACCAUCUAUUAGCACAUAACUUCCUUUUCCCUUUAAACCAGUUCCUUAUUGUUCUGUUCUGGUAACAAAUGCCACAUCCAAACUGUGAGAGUGUGGAAGGUGGAAAACCAUUUCAAGAGAUGCGGAAGGAGUGAAAUCAAGUGAUGUUUCCCCUGGUGGGGGCUGGCGAUCAGAGAAGCAGUAGGGAAAUGGGGCCCACUAAGCUGUCUCAGAAGCAGCCAGGAGCAGAUUCUAGGAAGAGAAUAGCCCCUUUUCUUACACAAUGAUGUUACCCUCAGCAGGACUACCCACCUUUGUCAUGGCUGUGGAAAAGAUAUGGCUUAAUAGUCUCACUUUCAUAUGUCAGGAUGUGAUUCCAUCGUGCCUUCUUCAUCAGCAAAGCUGGUUUAAGGUGUUGUCUAUUCUCCCACUAGCCACUUGUUUUUCGUGCUGUGUCACAGCUUACCACUGCUCCAGUGGUGCUGAUGAAGAUGUUUAGAAAGUCAUAUUGUGUGCUGGAUCACUGAAGAACAGUUAAAAAAGAAGGUCAAGAAAAAAGAUCAGUUCACUGAUCUAGUUUAUAGGUCCACAGAGAGAUACAUCACCACAACUGAAGGGAUUAAACUCAGGCACUGUGACGGGAGUCUUUUAAAUUGACUUUGCUGAUGGAGAAAAUUUAAGAGGGAAAUAUAUGUGCGCCCCAAGACUGGGGAGGAAGGGAGGAGUUGUACCUGGCAUAGUCUAGCAUUUAAAACAGUUAUUCUAUUUUUCACCUCUCCCCAGCCCUCCACCCACACAGUCCCAUGUGAACAACCUGCUGAAGUCCUGCUCCCUCUUUGUGGUUCUUGCUUCAGCUUCAGUAAAAGAGGAACAUGUUUUUACUUUCUUAACACAUUAAUGACAAGAUCUGCAGCUGAAAAAUAAAGCAUUAACAUACAGCAUCUCUGGUCAUUUGGGAUACCAUUAGAGGCACACAUCUCUACCCUUUGGUUAAGUAGUGCAGUGAGUAUAUCUAUCACAUGCCAGAGUCCCUCCUUUCAAUAAAAUGGGAGUGACACCAUCUUGUAGAAGGGACCUUUAUUGGGGAAGCAGGUUAUCAAACAGCUGUGCUCUAACUGAAGUCAUGGAAGUAUCCUCAAAAACACACCUAAAUGAAAACUUCUGUCCUAGGCAGGAGAAAACUCUUCUUGGAGCUUGUGAGUUCAUCCAGUCCCUGAGAUGAGAUUACAACUCCCUGUGGCAUGGUUACAGAUACCACAUUCCUGAUCUGACAUACUAAUAAUAAUGGCCCAGAGCUCUUUACCUCCAAGAGAUACCUCUGACAUUUACAUGGAAGCACAAUUAUAAGCAACAGACAUUUUUCAGUUCAUUGUAUCCCCUUCCAAACCUUGUUUCCUCUAGCCCUGUUCUCUUGCUGCUCACUAUGUUCUGCUCAGCUUUAAAUUCAGAAAAGCUGGCAUCCAACACCAUUAUACAAAAUGGCCAACAGGAAUACAAGCCAUCCCUCAAAAGUAUCUUUGUCCCAAAACUGAGAUUUGGAAUGUGAGUUUCCUACCUUGGGCCUACCCAGACUUGUACAAUAUGCCAGCAGAAAACAUCCUGUUACCUUCCUUUGAGAAGUAUGGUAACUUUUUUUUUUCCUGCAGAAAACAAUUGUUUUCACACCUUAGGUUCUUCAGCAAGUACAAUGCCUGCAAUUUUAGGCUUGUCUGCCCUGGCCUCACGGCUCCCUAGUUCAACAAUUGCUAAGGAGCUUUUAUUAACAUCUCAAAUACCUCCUUUCCCUUCUCCCUUUCUCAGAGGGGGUAAGAAAUGCUUCAGAUUCCUGAGUUUAGAAGAGCUUGGGGGCAUUUUUCUUAGCAGAAGAUAAGCUGAAAGGAGAACAGCAUCCCUCCCCAGCCCCUCUGUCACCCUGCACCUGUCAGGCUUAUGACUUGCCAGGUUUGGGUGAGGUACUGAUAAAGCAAACAUACUUUAAAGAGACUGAAAAAUCCAUCUAAAUGCUGUUUAAUUCAUCUUGAUAAGGAAGGGCUGUGGAGAGCUUUAUGCCACCUUUGCUUCUCUUUUCCUUCUGUAGUUCUCAGGCUGGGCCAUGUUUUCACAAAUCCAAGAUUUCAGUAGCAGAGUGACUGUACUAUUUGAAAAACAGGACUAAGUUCGGAGAAUACAUAAAAGUGAUAGCAUUUAACUACUUCACAUUUUUUACUCACUGUUUUAAUUGCUUUUCAGCAUCAGUCACCUUUAACAGACCCCUAAACAAAAGGCAUCUAAAUGGAUGUUCACUUCCCUCUUCCUCUCCCAGUAGGAAUUUAGUCUCCCAUUUUUUCCCCCCUCCUUACAAAAAACCAUGAGAGCCCCCCUACAUUCAUCUUGCUGCCUUUCCUGAGGUUACUGUGUGAGCUUUUUCUCCACUAAUGGUGCCUCUCAGCUUACCCCAUGUUCGCUGUUUGUUUUUGGGCUCAGCCUGCAAUAGUAAUCAAGGCCAAAUAUUUGCUCAAAUGAAGUGGCUCUGUGGUUCUCAUUCCAGGAAGCUGGCUGAGGACAAAGUGAAACUAACUUGAAAUACUCUAGUAUGCCCAAGAGAUGCUAGGAGCAAGGGAUUUUUCCAGUGCUGUAGAAAGUCAUCCAGAUUCUCAUUGUAGCUUUGUUGUGGGAACUGCAGGGGAACUAACUCAUUUAUAGCCUGCCCCAAUGAAAGACACCACUUUUAUCUGACAGAAACCAAAGUCAGUCCAGUUAAAGCCAAACUUUAAGACCGUUCUGUUGGGCUAUAACCAGAAAGAAGACCCAGUGUGAAGUCACGCAAGCAUUCAUUCUCCCUGUUCUGCAAGGCUAAAGCCCACAUUUUUCUGAUAAGAGGAGGCUAUAUCCUUUGUGCUUGCAAGUCAGUGGCAGGUCUUAUAAACACACCCACAGAUUCUCAGCCUAACAUAUUGCAAGCUCUGUGCAUCUGGAGCCAGUGCAUGCUUUUCUCAACAACCCCCCUUUCAUUUCUGCCAAGAUUCCCUCCCACAUUUGGGACUUUUUUCCUGCUCCCUUGAGAGCCUCCUCAAUUCUCCCAGCUCCUCCAGCCUCCCACUGUCAGAGUGGACUGUUCUGUACAGCUUUCCUGGUCUGCUCUGCCUUUGGGAACAUAUGGACCAGUGCAGGAAGCUGGGCACAAAAAUCUGUGCAUUACCCUUAUUCUCAGCCCUGUGUUUGGGUCAGGUGGAUGGACCAGAAGACUGAACUGACAGUGCUGACACAGAAAGCAGAAAAUCUCCAGGACCUACUGGGGCAUUAGCUUUGUAGGAUGUGAGAAGUUACCAACAGAGAUACAUGACGUGCCAUCACUGUGGGAAGCCACCUUUUAGAUGAGGUGCAGACAAGCUCCAUUUAACACAGUCACAUUCUUUCCCAUUUAUCAGACCAUCGUUUCCUGGGAAUAUUCUGGAACAAGGAAAGCAAUUCACUGGGCAUCCUGUGUGUUUUCAUAACACACCACCGAUUCCUGUCAAAAAUCAAUAGCUCACUGAGGAGUAGCAGACUACUGAGCUGCCCAGGCUAGCACCUGCUCUGCAAUAUUUCUCAGCUACCAAGAGGCAGGAAAGCAUUAGAGGAAUCAAACCCACAGCACAGAGGUGCUCAGGGACUUAAGAACUCCUGAAAUUCCUCCAUGUGAGGUAGCAACUUGUUUUAGUCCAGGGCGUAAGGAGUUCCUGCAAGCAGUGCUGCCUUCUUGAACUGGUUCAAGGACAAAAAAAAAAAAGAAGUUAAAAGAUUUUCUGUGGAAUAGAAUAUUUGGACUUUGAGUUACAAACACAAGCAUGACACAGAUCAUAAAACAUGAAAUAAGGGAGCUCUGCUCUCUUCUACGCAGUGGGGCAAGGCAUUUAACCUGUCGUAAAUCCUGUCCACUCCCUCCUUGUCUUUUCUGUUUAUACAUGAAGUUAAAGCAUCCUUAAGCCUCUUACUACUCUACCACUCUCCUGAUUACAGCCGCAUCUAACACUGAACUUGAAGCACACACCUGUACGAAUUCAUGAGAAAAAACUUUGCAUUACAUGGAAAAAAAAGAGUCAUAUGCAGAAAAGGAAGAAGGACAGUGCCACCCUUCAAACUGAAGAAAGUUUUGGCCCAUGAGCUGCUGAAGAAAGACACAUAGAUGUGUGAACUGCAACCCCUCUUCUGCAGCACUUUGUGAAGCAAGUGAGCAGUCCCAGGCAGGAGGAGGCUUUCUGCAUUUUGAACAGGCCAAGGUGAGGAGUCGUGCAGGGCAGAGCACCCUGAGAAAUUGGACCUCAUGACCUGGACUUGCACAUCCACGAGCAGAGACAUGGGAAAUGCUGCCUUUCUGGAGCUAAAGUGGGGAGGGGAGUGCUGGAAGCUGCAGACAGGAAGAGCUUGACUUGGGAAAAGCGAAGCAGGUAACAAUCAUACAACUAUUUAUGGCUCUUUUUCCUUGUGACAACUGCAGCCUUAUAAGGGCAAGAGCGCUUUACUCGGGGCAGAGCUGCGGAGGUGGAGCCUCCAGGGGCACUCCUGAUGCUUGCUCCCAGGCUAUCUGCCUGCACAAGCCGCUGACCUCCUUCCCGGGAAAAACCCUGGGAACCCUCGCUGAAUCCAGCUGUUCAAAUUUCAAAUUACAAAACGCCUCGGCUCCCCUCCCCUUCUCCCCAUACCUCCUACUAGCUGGAGCUGUGGUGAAGCAGAAAUGUCUGCAUUUGUAACGUUGUGGGUAUCUGGGAGCAGUGGGUUGGAGAGCCCCCCGCAGCUGACGUGGGAAACCUAUUCCCAUCUGGUUGUGAUAGUACUGAGAACUGGAAGAAACAAGAAAGGAAAAACAAACAACCUUCCCCUCGAACCCCCCCCCCAGUGUUGCUUGUCGGCCACUAGUGAGUGUGUGAAAGGCUGCAGCUGGCAAAUCUGGUGCACAAACUCUGUUGCAGAUCCUUCUGCCUAUGGUUGUGGUUCGGAGCCCCCCACUAACUCUGGUGGAGCUUCCAGUCUGUGUGUGUUGGGUUCUUACACAUUUCAACCCUGUCCAAUCCACCCAGCUGAACUAUGCUGGAAAUGGGUUGCAAAUAAAACUAAACACAAACAUGCUAAAAAUGUCACUGUCAUCAGAUAAGGUUGCUAUGUACAUAAAAUUCCUGACACGAGUUCAUUAGACCAAGGACAUGAAAAGUUGCGCUACAUGCAUAUGUUGGCUGGGAUGGGGAGGAGGGUAUGGUGAGGAAGGAUUCAGCCUGAAGCUUUAUUUUUUUUUGGCCUUCUAACAACCCAUAGCCAUCACCCUGUGUGUGUGACUCAAUUUCUCGCAAUAGGAAGGGAAAAAGGAAAAAAAACCCAACAAAUGUUACAGCACCCACUUCCUUCUGUGAACACAGGUGUGAUUUGGGAAGGAGCAGGAGGCAGGGUUAGCCAUGUCACUUGUGAGCCAUGGAAGGUUGGCUUUCCAGAGGACAAAGCACAUGCUGACCAAGUCUUUACUCAGCAGUCUUUACCAAAACCAGUCAUUUUUAGCACUGCAGGAGGCAUUUAUCUCUGCAUUAUAAGAGGGAAAACAGGCACCAAGAGCUUCCUCUAUGAUAAACUUCUUGUAGUUGUGGCUAUGUUCAACUUGCAGAAACAUGGGACUGCCUGGGCUAGGUGCUCCCACAUGGACUUACCAGUCCUCGGACACUCAGGUUUGCAGAAGUGCCUGAUUGGAAUGACCUUCCCUACCACAUACUGAGUUGUUAUAAUUCUCAAGCCACAUAUUUUAAGAGAGGGGUAAGAGCUGUGAGAGGGAUUUCAGGUGAUCCCCUCCUCUCCCGAGCUUACCACAACAGCCACCCUUUGGCUGCUUGCAGGCUGGCUGUGGCUCAAGAAGGAGAAGCUGUGCACCCUUCGCCCCAGGAUGAGCAACGUGGGUUAGAUUAACCUGCAAAGGUGUAACAUCAUGUCCUCCUCAGCCUCACAAAGGUCAGGGUUGGGGCUUCACGGCUAUGUGAAACCAGCACAAGUCUGAGCAGCCUUUGAAGGAGGGCUGUUCUCCUUCCUCCUCUGAUAUUCAUACUGCCACUGCUAGUCUCGUAUGACAGCCAGCUGAUCCAGCUGGAAACAACCUUGAAACUAAAGAAAGGCAGAUGUUUCCAGUUUGAUAAUUUCUUUGAUCCAUUUGACUACCUGGUUGCUACACAGGUGCUGAAAAUGUACAGUCAUGGGAAGCCAGACACAAGCUGCUCAGAAACUAUGAGGGAAUUGAAGCUCAGGAGAGGCCAGAAAGCCUCCUUUCCAGAAAUAUCAUGAAUGAGUGGAAUUCAGAUGUGUGGCUGGUCACAGGGGUUCUUUUAGCAUCCCACAGGCAAGUGCUUGCAAUCAGUAUCUGAAUUAAGGGAUAAAUUAAGGGAUGUCUAUUACCAAAAAAGUAGAAUUACCAAAAUCACAGCACCAUUUAGCAUAGGCGGUAAUUUUGAGGUCUCCAGAUCAACAUCCUGCCUGGAGCAGGACCAGCAUUAAUGUUGGAUCAAAGUGCUCAGGGCCAAAUCUCUGAGGAUGGCACAUCCACUAUCUCUGUUCUUGCCUCUUGUCCUUUCACUGAGCACCUCUGGCAAUCUGGCUUUACCUUUCAAAUAACCCCCAUUUGGGUGGUAGAAGCCAGCUGUUACAUAGUCCCCCUCACAAGCCUGCGUGCCCCUUUGCAAACCAACCCACCUCCCUCAGCCCUGCUCGUGUCAGGUGGUCCAGCCCCCUUAGUCAGCUUUGUGCUCCUCCCCAGAGUCGCUGCAGUUUGUUAGUGUCCCUCCUGCAAAUGUAAAGGAUCCUCCUGAAGGAGCCUGAGGAAUGGUCCAUCUCACCUUCUGGAGGAGAGCAGGUGUCUCUGUCUACUUGUAGAAACUCGAGUCUUUGCGAGUGUGUUUGUUGGGGUGUGCAUGCACAGAACCAGCAUCUGUCAGUGCGUGUGCACAGUGCCACACAGGGAGGCCAUGCAUCCGCCUCUCGGGUAAAUAGUGAUUCAGAAGUUUAGGUCAUAAAAAUGGGUGCAAAUUCACUCAAGUCCCUGGAGCUGUGGUUCCUGUGAGCAGAGCUAUACUGCAGGUAUGCUGUGUGAGUGCCAUCUAUAUUGAUUUCCAGGGACGUCUGUGCACUGUCCUUCUUCUUCAGCAUCUCUGCACCUUAGCAGGCACAGAUUCUCCUUCCCGUUGUCAUUGGCAAAAAUGUUUACAAUCAGGUGUAAAUCUGGUCAGGUAGCUUCUUGAUUACUCACUUCUCAGCUAUUACUCUGCUUCAGUAACCCUGAAGCUCAGGAGACAGGGUGUACCAGGCAGUAGCUAGGACUGGAAGACAACAGAAAUCACGUUCUGCUCUGGUGAAGUUGCUGGAGGGCAGUGCAUCACUGCUGUGAUGUCAUGAGCAUGAGGCAUGGCCUUCAGAGCAUAAAAAAAGAAUUCCCUUUACUCAGUGGGCCAACAGGUGAUUUCAAAAGAUGCAAGCGAAAAGGGAGACGUCAAAACUUUUACCUGCUUGCUGUCCUGAGGAUAUGGUGGGUAAAAUGAUGUGUAACUGUGAAUCAGCGGUGCCUUUUGCAAUGUCAGGAUUGUGGCAUGAUGAGCGAUCCCUCUGAAGUCUUUGUAAGCCUUUUUCCUAUGGUGCAGAUGGACUGGGCAGGGUAGAGCCAAUGCUGGACCAGUGGCUGCCCCAAGCUACAGAGGCAGCAGCAGGAGAAAGCCCCGGGGUGCUGGUUCUCAGUCGGUCACAUCCACUCCUCAUUUUACUGCAAGAACUGCCAUCAAACCUCUGUCAUAAGGAGUUUUGUUGCUGCAGCCCAGGAUGCUUGGAUGCCUGGCACAUAAGGACAAGAGGUGUUGGGUAAAGACCCAGUUUUACUCAGUUGGUGUUAAGCUCAAGGCUAGAGCUGUGGUCUUACAAAGAAGAGGAAGCAAAGCAAUGUAAUCUGCUAUAGGGAACAGAGAUGUAGAUCUGGGUUAACACAGAGUGAGGUGCUCAAAGGUCUGAUCCAGAUCACAGUCAGGCAAAGUUUACUCCCCAGCUAUAGAAAAUUAUUACAGAAAUGGAAUAAAACAAGGUUUUACUACAAGCCAAGGACAAGAAUCACCAGCUGCUCAUGUCACCCAGCUCCUUUAUUCUGAAACAAACAAUUUAGGGACCGCCUUAUGCAGCACAAGGAAAAGGUGUUCAGGACAGGUUUGAAAGACAGAGUUUGUUCCAGCAGUCAACAUCUCCUUUUGAGUCCCUUUCAUAAAUCCCGAAAGCAAGGCAGAGAGGUAAAAUGCAAACUCAGCUGAUCUUCCCCAUCGGUUCCACCUCUGGUGGAACUGGUCCCAGCUGGGAUCCUAUGGGAUGUGUUGGGACAAGAAGUGGUGUGUGCACCAACACUGCUACUAGAUAUAGGUUGAAGGGCCCAAAAUACAUGUGCAGCCACCAUAAGCCAAGGGACCUUGUCCGCUGCCCAGGGUGGGGUGGCCAGUCUCAUUUAGCUUGGCAGCCUGGCAUACCUUACCAGGCUUAUUUGGUCGUGUGUCCUUCUCCCUCCUCAGCCGUAUCCCCAGGGCCAGGUUUUCCUGCUUCACCCCAAACACUUAUUUUUCUUAUUUUAGAACAAACAGAGUUGCGUGUGUUUUGAUUUCUAGAAAAAGGUUAGAGGGAGGUCAGAGCUGACAUCUGGGCUGGAGAUAACAUUCCCGUCUAAUUAGCAAACCCUGGAUAAUGAGGGCCUUCCUGUCCCAUCCCCUUGCCCUGGUGUGGGAGAGGGGAGACCCAGUGGAGGCUGGGGCAGAAAUGAGGCAGGAGAAUACCCUGUAAGGCAGCAUUCCAUUUUCUAGUGUCCCCAGCCCAAGCUCAUGGGCUGCUGAUAGGUGCCUGUGGGCAACGGCUGGAGGCUGCCCCUCCUUCAUCUUUGUGUGAGGACACCAUCUGCAGGCACCCAGCCUCUGCAGGCUCUUUUUCCAAGGCACUGGCCAUGUCUUUCCAAAGUGCUGAUGGUGCUGCCAGUCCCCUCCAAACCUAUUGCCCGGGGAGAGCUCAUUUGCCCUUUCUGCAAAUCAGGGAUUAUGGAUUUAAAUACCCAGGUGCUACAGGUCCUACCCGUGCUGCUGUGUGAGUGGCAAGAGGAGACACCAGCAGAUAAGAUGUUGGAGACACAGAUGAGAUGCACAGCGAGGUCUGCAGAGCACAGCUGGGCUAUCUGCUUCCCUCCCCUCAGCCUAGGGAGCUGUACAUUGGCAGUUCCAUCCCUGCUCUCGGGAAUCGGGUCAUUUACCAGGGCAGCACAGCCCGCCGGGCUGACACGAUGCAGCUGGUUGUGUGCAGCAGUACCGCAAAGAGGAGACAGCCACGGCUGGAGUCAGCUUUGGCUGGGAUGCUGAGCUGGGGGAGCAAAGGGCCAGAAGUGCUGAGGAGACCCAGUUUGUGAGGGUUCCUGCAAUUUCUAGACAUGUACCCCUGCAGCAGGACAUGGAGGUGCUGGAAUAAAGCCUGACUCAAUAAAGCCUGGUAGAGAGGCUCCCUGACUGAAUCACCUCGAGCUCUGUGCUUUCCCUGCAGCUCCCCUGCUGUGGGCUGACUCUGUGCUUGCAAAACCCCAUGAGAUCAGGGGCGCAGGCAAGCGAGGCGGGGGCUGAACUGCAGCCAGGCACUCUCCAGGUGAGAUUAAAACAGCAGGCACAUCCUGUCCAUGGAAAACCCCGGCUGACACCCCUCAGCAGAGCCGGUGACACACCAGGCUCUUGCCUUGUCAGCUCCAUGGCAGGGGGAUUUGCUGCCAGCAGCCUCAGAUGCGUGUCCGCCCUCACCGGAAAUGCCACAGCCUGUUGAUUCCUUGGAGGGGACGUGACCAUCAUUCCUGACCUCAGUAUAAAACCCCAGGGAGGGAAGGAAAAAAAGAAGGCAGGGAAACAAGGCUCGGCAUGUAACGCUGGCAGAGCUCAGCCAUCAUGACCCCGGCUGCAAGCUGGAGAAGAUGAAGCUGGGAACCGUGCCCUUGGGUCAGUCAUGUGCUGCUGGUCACCACGGGCUGGGUAAAAUGUCACAGGGAGGCACAGCAUUGUGGGGGAGCAGCAGAACAGGGAGAUGACAGCAGCCUAAGGAGUUUGCUUGCGGACAUGGCCACAUGCUCCAAGCUUCCUUGCUGCAGGCUCCAGUGAGACCAGCAGUGACGGGUCCCUCAUGUUCCCACAUCCUUUUGUCUCAAGGGUGCUGCCAGCUUCUGCCUUCUGUGCAGUGCCAGACAGAUUAAGAAAACCUUAAAUGUGCUUCCUCCUGAGAGUUGUCAACAAACUGAGAACAGAACUUGAGCCCAAGGCCAGGGAAAGGGCCCAGACAGGAACAAGGGGGUUGGCGUGCUGGGCAACUGCACAGUUUAGCAUUAAAAAUGCAGUGGCAGGCAUGACAGCAGCAACCUUUAAUAUUGCCCGAGCUCUAUGAAAAGUUUCCAUGCUUCUGCCAGGAUCUUAGGGUGAAGCCCAUGGGACCUGGCCCAGAUGGGAAGUGGAAGGUGGAUCUCCUCAGGUGGUGAGCUUAGCUGAAAUAGCUAGGCUGAAGGAUCAGCCCCUUGGGAGCAGACCGGGCGAGCAAGAAAGAAGAAUGUGAGGGUUUUGUCUUGUAGCUUCCUGCCAAAAACUGGCAUGGCUGUAAACACAAGUGCAGAACAAUAAGGUCUCCUGUCCCAGCAGCUGCUAAAGCUGUCACCUGGGAAGCUUCCUGCAAUCAGCCACUGGAAGGACAAAAAGGAGCUCCCACAUGCUUUCCUGCAAUUUGUCAUAUGUCUGAUCUCUGCUCUGCUCAGUCUCUAUCAUCCUCCCUUCCCCCAGAGCCCUGUCUCACACUCCAACAAGAGGAUGUGGUUAUGAAGGCCAACCUCUGGUUAGGAGGAGCAGUCUCAUUGUUCAACCUUGCUUCUCCAAGCAGCAAGAAGUGCUUUUCUUUAUGACUUCUGAGUCACCCUAUAGUUUCUCCACAGAAAGUAUUUCCCCUGGGCUGGUUCUGCAGGCACUGGGUGAACUUCCCUGGUGCCUCAGACAGUUCCAUAGCACUCUGCAGAUCCUCUCUGCCUGCCACGUGUUGCAGCUUCAGGGCUUACAGUGACCAGAGUUGGCACAGUGCUGCCACCGGCUUCUUUUUCAGACCACUGCACCUUUCCAAGGCGUUAAUCUCUGGGUCUGAACACUGCCAUGCUGGAUCUCUCCUGCCGGGUAAGUAUUUUUAGAAAGUUUGAGCUCAGACCAUGCAGUCACUCCUGAGCUAUGCCAGGAUGAAAAGAAAACAACCACUUCUGCCUGAACAAUAGCAGCGUGGAACAAAAAGCCACUGUAAGAGGGGUUUUUCGGCAUCACUCAAAACUGGCCAAGCUUUGAAAGAUGAAACUCGCAGUCAAAAAAAAAAAAGAAAAAGGUUCCUAGUGAACAAGUGAACAGAAAGGGCUUUGACAGUUUACUUAAAAAAGCCAGAUUAAAGCAAAAUGAUGUUAUAUAAAUACGUGGGCGUGCUGGAGCUUGCAUGCAGUACAGCACUCCAUCUCCAUCUCUGCCACUGCCCUGGCCAGACCCAGAGCUGGGUUUGUCACCUGCUGCUGCCUGUGGCACAGCCCUGCAGGUAAAGCCACCUCCAAGUAAAGGAGCUGGGCAGUCCCUGCGCCCGCGGCUACGGGCCCUGCGGGGAAGUGUUAUUGCCUCAUGAUGGAGCCAGAAAGCAACCUCGGGGGAUGCAGAUCCUCUCCUUCCUGAGGCCAUGUAGCUACGAGUGCAGAGCCAGCUAGGAAAAACACCCUCUCGCUGCCAGCUGUGUGAGACCUGUGUGAGACCGGCAUGGAGGAGCGGGAGCCAAGGGGGUGACCGGAGGUCACCAUCUCUGGAAAACACCGAAAUCUCUGGUGCGUUUUGUACCCUCUGGAUGACUUAAAGUCAGUGUUUCUGAGGGCUCUCACUGAAAAAUUUCCUGUUUUUCAGGAAAUUGCUCAACCACUUGUCCACUCUGAGAGGAGAGAUGGUGCUGGGGUGCCUUUAGCAGCAGAGGGAUGAGGAGUCUGUAAUAGCUGAGAAGGGUACUGGGAGCUCAGCCUUCCCUUGGGUGGGAGAGCCAGCAGGCUGGCUCCUGUCCUCUUCUGUCAGCAGCUACAGCUGCUGGGGACAUCUGUGAGACCCAGAAGCUCCUGGCACUCUCCACAGCAGACAACAAGAGUACGUGAGUGGGUAAAGAUGUAUAUAUACGUACAGGGACCUUACUUCACAGAAGCUGCAGACCAUGGAGAAAACCUGUCAAUUUUAGUGCGUUUUUAUUGUGACUAUUUGGAUUAUGAGGGCCUAGGAAGUCAAUGCAAGCAGAUGGGAAGUUGGGUGCUGCCCUGUUGCCUGCAGCUGCCAGCUGUCCUUCACUCACACAACAUGAGCAGCUUCAGUGUCCCACUCUAGCCUCUCCUUAUAGGAUCAGUUCCCUUCACUACCCAUCAGGGACCCCUUGCCACCAGGAAGGCAGCCACAGGGUUUCUCCUCCCUCUGUUCCCACUGGGCUGUGGGCUGACACAUUUUUAAGCUCUCCCUGGAGGCCUCCAUUUUCCACCCAUUUGGCUCCUCUGGGUGUAAGAAAUUAGGGAUUUCCCCUGCUGUUCCUGCCUCUAUCCUUCCCUGGGUGGUAGAAUUGAGGAAAAAAGCAACCAGGCACAGCUCAGCACAGCAGCCCCCUCUGACACCACAUCCAGCCUCUGGCUACCACUCUCCUUAGAGUUGCAAUCUUUG